CCUACGGGGGGCAGCAGUGGGGAAUAUUGGACAAUGGGCGAAAGCCUGAUCCAGCCAUGCCGCGUGUGUGAAGAAGGCCUUCGGGUUGUAAAGCACUUUCAGUGGGGAAGAAAGCCUUGGGGCUAAUACCCUCGAGGAAGGACAUCACCCACAGAAGAAGCACCGGCUAACUCCGUGCCAGCAGCCGCGGUAAUACGGAGGGUGCGAGCGUUAAUCGGAAUUACUGGGCGUAAAGCGCGCGUAGGCGGUCUGAUAAGCCGGUUGUGAAAGCCCCGGGCUCAACCUGGGAACGGCAGCCGGAACCGUCAGGCUAGAGUGCAGGAGAGGAAGGUAGAAUUCCCGGUGUAGCGGUGAAAUGCGUAGAGAUCGGGAGGAAUACCAGUGGCGAAGGCGGCCUUCUGGACUGACACUGACGCUGAGGUGCGAAAGCGUGGGUAGCAAACAGGAUUAGAUACCCCGGUAGUC
rnacentral:rRNA from 1 species